UUCGCAGCUCACAGACGGGGAGCCUCGCUCCCGCACGAGGCUGCGUGGAAAGUCCCCGUGCUUGAGGGCAGAACGUGCCAGCGGGAGACCGCGUUGCUCGGGCUGCGGGCGCUUGCGGCGAAGCCAUCGGCGGACUCGCGGUGCUUGGCUUGGGCAUCUUCGCAGCAGCACAGCCAUCUCGUGAGCACCUGGCAGGGUGCCAACUGAACGGGGCUCACUCU
rnacentral:RNase_MRP_RNA from 1 species